rnacentral:rRNA from 1 species
GAUGAACGCUGGCGGCGUGCUUAACACAUGCAAGUCGAACGAUGAAGCUCAGCUUGCUGGGUGGAUUAGUGGCGAACGGGUGAGUAACACGUGAGUAACCUGCCCUUAACUCUGGGAUAAGCCUGGGAAACUGGGUCUAAUACCGGAUAGGAGCGUCCACCGCAUGGUGGGUGUUGGAAAGAUUUAUCGGUUUUGGAUGGACUCGCGGCCUAUCAGCUUGUUGGUGAGGUAAUGGCUCACCAAGGCGACGACGGGUAGCCGGCCUGAGAGGGUGACCGGCCACACUGGGACUGAGACACGGCCCAGACUCCUACGGGAGGCAGCAGUGGGGAAUAUUGCACAAUGGGCGCAAGCCUGAUGCAGCGACGCCGCGUGAGGGAUGACGGCCUUCGGGUUGUAAACCUCUUUCAGUAGGGAAGAAGCGAAGGUGACGGUACCUGCAGAAGAAGCACCGGCUAACUACGUG